GACGAACGCUGGCGGCGUGCUUAACACAUGCAAGUCGAACGGAAAGGCCCUGCUUUUGUGGGGUGCUCGAGUGGCGAACGGGUGAGUAACACGUGAGUAACCUGCCCUUGACUUUGGGAUAACUUCAGGAAACUGGGGCUAAUACCGGAUAGGAGCUCCUGCUGCAUGGUGGGGGUUGGAAAGUUUCGGCGGUUGGGGAUGGACUCGCGGCUUAUCAGCUUGUUGGUGGGGUAGUGGCUUACCAAGGCUUUGACGGGUAGCCGGCCUGAGAGGGUGACCGGCCACAUUGGGACUGAGAUACGGCCCAGACUCCUACGGGAGGCAGCAGUGGGGAAUAUUGCACGAUGGGCUGAAGCAUGAUGCAGCAACGCCGCGUGCGGGAUGACGGCCUUCGGGUUGUAACCCGCUUUCGCCUGUGACGAAGCGUGAGUGACGGUAAUGGGUAAAGAAGCACCGGCUAACUACGUG
rnacentral:rRNA from 1 species